rnacentral:rRNA from 1 species
UACAGAGGUCUCAAGCGUUGUUCGGAUUCAUUGGGCGUAAAGGGUGUGUAGGUGGCGCCGUAAGUCGGGUGUGAAAUUUCGGAGCUUAACUCCGAAACUGCAUUCGAUACUGCGGUGCUUGAGGACUGGAGAGGAGACUGGAAUUUACGGUGUAGCAGUGAAAUGCGUAGAUAUCGUGAAGGAAGACCAGUGGCGAAGGCGGGUCUCUGGACAGUUCC